UACGUAUGAGGUGAAAGUCUCCCGGCUCAACCCCGCAGGCUCAUUGGAAACUGCGGAACUUGAGUGCAGAAGAGGGCGAGAGCAAUUUCACACGUAGCGCUGAUAUGCGUAGAGAUGUGGAGGGCACACCAUGGGAUCAGGUGCCUUUCCCCGUGUGUAAGCUACUCAGAGGUAGCGAACGGGUCAGGAGAGAACAGGAGUAGAUACCCUUGUAGUCCCACGCCUAAAACAGAUGAGUGCUAAGUGUGGAGGGCCUCUCGCCCUCUUAGUGACGCAGGUUACGCAUUAAGCAAUCAGCCUGGGGAGUACAGUCGCAAGAUUGAAAAUCAAAGGAAUUGAUGGGGGCCCGCACCAGCGGUGGACCAUGUGGUUUAAUUAGAAGCAACGCGAAGAACCUUACCAGGUCUUGACAUCGUAGUACAAUCCUAGAGAUAGGAUAUGUCCUUUCAGGGCACCGUGACAGUUGAACGGUAGUUGUUUUUUCCUCGCAUCAGAAGAUUUUGGUCUAAAAACCGCCAUCAGUCCCACCCCGGAUCUUAGUCGCCCGCUUUUCCAUGGGCAAUGAAAGGUUACUGCCGGUCCCAACCGGAGGAAUGUGGGGAAGAAGUCAAAUCCUCAUGGCCCUUUAGACCUGGGGACACACCAUCUACAAUGGACAGAACAAAGGGUAGCGAAACCAGGAGGUUAAGCCAAUUUUACAAAUACUUUUCAGUUCGGCCUCAGUUACAACUUGACUGGCGGAAGGUGGAACCGUUAGUAAUCGGGGAUCAUUUUGGCGAGGUAUACCAUUCCCCGGCCUGGACACACCCCCCGACUCACC
rnacentral:rRNA from 1 species